UACGUAGGGGGCUAGCGUUGUCCGGAAUCAUUGGGCGUAAAGCGCGCGUAGGCGGUCAGGAAAGUCCGGUGUGAAAGUCAUAGGCUCAACCUAUGGAUGCCGCUGGAAACUGCCUGACUUGAGUCCGGAAGGGGCGAGUGGAAUUCCUGGUGUAGCGGUGAAAUGCGCAGAUAUCGGGAAGAACACCCGUGGCGAAGGCGGCUCUCUGGGACGGUACUGACGCUGAGACGCGAAAGCGUGGGGAGCGAACAGG
rnacentral:rRNA from 1 species